UAUAUAUAUAUAUAUAUAUAUAUAUAUAUAUAUAUAUAUAUAUAUAUAUAUAUAUAUAUAUAUAUAUAUAUAUAAAAAAUCACUGCAUUUAUACAAAAGUUAGCUACCAUCCCAGGUGAUCCCAUGAUUUGUUUCUUCAACAUGUAAAAUUAGUUUUCAUUACUAGUCCGAAGUGUAUAUUAAAUUUUGUGAUCAUUAAUUCGUUCUUUAAAAAUGCACGUUAAAGAGCACAAAUAUACCCUCAAUUUCAACUCGUGAGGAUAUACUACAUAUGAGUUAGAUCUUGUAAUGAGGUUGCUAGUGGAGAGGUCCCCUCCCACCCUCCCGUCUGUCAGUCACUGAGCACUGGGAGGGGGGGAGGUGAUCUGACCCGCCCACAGUAAUUACAUGAGGUACCGCUUGGAGUGAUGGCUUUGCCAGCCCUCCAGCCCCGCACUCUCGGGAGUCACCUGAUUACCUUUUUAAACCUGAGGUGUGUUUGUAUACAUAAGGAGCUCUAUACACACUUUCCCUACUUCUACUCCUCCUUCAAAAACCUGAAGAUGGUGACUGUGUCCCCAAAAUCUCUGGUAAAUUUGUACACUUUCGUUUGCCAAUAUGGGUUAUGUUCACACACCCUCACCUGCUGAUAUUGAGAUAAAUUACACACACACCUGCUUAUACACUGAGACUGUACCAAAGACUUCAGUAAUAGACUCCAUGCAUGAAGAAUUGCCAUGAAGGUUAAAAGUUCUGACAGUGUACAGCUUGUUGAGCCUUAAAGGUAUAUACAUGUUGUUGUGUGUGAGUGAGUCACAAAGAUGAGUUUUCUCACAUGCUAUGGUCAAAUCUGUACAUCAUUACCCUCAUGGCUACCCUGUUCCUCACUAAACAAGCUGGAAGAUGAACACUUAAGACAGAAAAUAGCACUCAGAGCACAUAAUGACUGAGAGAGUAACAACCAGACAAGUGGAAGCUCAUUUUUUGUUCUCAAACUCUUGAAUUCAAUGUGACUCUCUCCUUCUCUCUCUCUCUCUGAAGAUGGUCCCAAUGAAAAAGAAUGAAAAACUUCAUUAUAAUUUUCCUGUCCAUAUUUUCCAACUGUCAGCUUGAAAAUCACACCCACUUCAUUCAGACAUACACAGUAAACAACAAUACAGUCUUGUUUGGUUUCCCAGGACCCUGAGCAGGCACUGGGACCAGCAUGAAAACUGUGACCUUGUUAUGAAUACAGAAAAGUGAAACUUCUGAACUCUAUCUCUCCCUCACAGGUGCAUACACAAUCAAGACUAUCAGUAACAGUAACAAGUUUAAUUUCACCAUUCCAAAAAAUACUUUAAAAUCUGCAAUGUCUACAAAAGUAAGAAAUUAAACUAUUUGCAGGUACUAUUGCAAAACUUCUUGUGACUCGCUAAGGCUAACUAAACCUCCCCGGCUAAUAAACUGCCUUAAUCUUUGUUGUGAAGUAAGGAAAGACUGGUGGAAUAGAGUGUAAUGCAGACUAGUGAGUAUAUGCUAUGUAUCUAUACCAGCAAGCCACUAAUUCUGCUCAGCCUUUAAAAUGUGUCAAAGAGAAAAGUUUGUUCAUUUGAAGGUUAAAGACAAAUUACCUAUCCAUAAUUAUCUGGGAGUGUAAAAAGACAGAAAGUGCAGAAUAGAAUAUGAGUAACUAAAUACUAGGAACACUGGCAAACUAAUUCAGCUGAACCUUCAGGAGGUAUUACGGACGAAUGGCUAUCGACUCUGCUUUGGAAGUAAAGACUAAUAGGAGUCACAUAAUUAAAAAAUGUUUCAUUGGUAUGGACCGUAUAAACACAGCCUUAAUUUAGCUGAGCUUGUAUUAUGAAAUUACGUCAUAGUUACUUCUUGUCAUGGAAGUUAAGAACACCAAAACAACACAAUGGACUGCUCAAUAUUUCUACCAACAAAGCUAUUAUUAUUAUUUUUUUUUUCACAAAGUAUGCCUAUCUACUUGGUGUUCUGGAUGUGAAGAUUCAAUAAUGGCCAAAUUAAGCAACUCAGCUACUCUUUAGAAUGGAUAUCUCUCCCUCCAAGAAGCUGCCACAACUAAAGGACAAACUUGUGACCCCGCAGACACAAGCCUGGCGCUCUACCACACAACA